rnacentral:lncRNA from 1 species
GUGUGUGCUUUUGCUUUCAGCCAGAUAGUGGCAAUUGAGUGCACUCCGUAAAUGGCUAUCUGGAAAAACCAUUUAGCAGUUCAAGAAUGUGUCCUUCCCUUUAGCAUAUCUGCCAUUGUUUUCAGUAGGAGGAAAAAAAAAGUAUGCAUUACGAUUUAAAAUAGAUAAACUGCUGCCGAUUGCUAGAACAACUUCUGGGCCCUCUUUCCAGUUCUCCUUAAUGAAACUAUGCAAUUGCAAAUUUAGCCGCAGACCAAAAACAGCGUUAUGGACGGUCUUUUUCAAAUUACUGCCAAUUGUUCUACAGCACGGGACUAUAAAAACCUUGCAAUCCUAUUGCUAAUUUGCUCGUGGUAUUACUUCAUAGACAAAAUUUCACAGCUGAAAGAUAAAAGAUAAUUUGCAGACACAAGAGAAUCUAAGAUUUAAAGGCGCUGCUGCUUGCUCCCAAAGACUGCUAUUAAUUAAUGUUACUUUGUGGUCAUAGAUAAUCCUAAUUCCUUUUUUCCUGAUCUGGGGAACGCUUCUGCCAAUGAGUGAGCUUUUUACUGAAGUACUAAAAAUGUUCACAAAUUUUAACGUUUAUUACAACAAAAUUGAAGUUCGUAUGUGUUUUGAUUCCCAGCCGUAAAAGGCAAGAAAUAACUGUGUAAAAUGUAGUGCUAUAGAAAAAGAUGAUACCAAGAACUGCAUAAAAGAAACAUGGUCUCUAAAUAUUAAUAAUUGGGCUAUAAAUUGAAAAAAAAAACACAAUUUGGUCUUGGCUAAAGAUUUGUAAUAUCUGAACUAUUUAGCAAUGUGGCUCCAAGGUGAUAAUGAAAUAAUUUAAUAUUUUUCCCUGAAUCUAAGAAUGAAACAGAAAAAGUAAAAUUAAAACAA